GAUGAACGCUGGCGGCGUGCCUAACACAUGCAAGUCGAACGGAAAGGCCCAAGCUUGCUUGGGUACUCGAGUGGCGAACGGGUGAGUAACACGUGGGUGAUCUGCCCUGCACUUCGGGAUAAGCCUGGGAAACUGGGUCUAAUACCGGACAGGACGAUGGUUUGGAUGCCAUUGUGGAAAGGGUUUUCGGUGUGGGAUGAGUUCGCGGCCUAUCAGCUUGUUGGUGUGGUAAUGGCCUACCAAGGCGUCGACGGGUAGCCGGCCUGAGAGGGUGUACGGCUACAGUGGGACUGAGACACGGCCCAGACGCCUACGGGAGGGAGCAGUAGGGAAUAUUGAGCAAGGGGCGCAAGCCUGAUGCAGCGACGCCGCGUGGGGGAUGACGGCCUUCGGGUUGUAAACUCCUUUCGCUAGGGACGAAGCGUUUUGUGACGGUACCUGGAGAAGAAGCACCGGCUAACUACGUG
rnacentral:rRNA from 1 species